GGGGGGACAGGCAGACUGUUUAAAUGGUUCUCAACUCAGGCUGCACAUUAUUGAUAAUGUUAUAUCCUACCAACGAGGACCAAUCAAAUUCUGACCUCAGGGGGUGAGCUCAGGUGCUAGUAUGUUUUCCCGAAUCACAGGGAAGGGUGAGAACCACUGCGGGUCAACAGGCAGCCAGCAGCUGUUCUUGAGGAAAGUGAGCAACAGUUGUUGGCCUCUGCUUUCCCCAGGCCAUCAGGUAGAGGUGCCCGAUUCCCAUUCAGCUCAGAAUCCCUGUGUCCACAUCGCCAUGGUUUCUAGAACUAGUCUUUCACACCCUGUUCCAAUGAGCCUAGUGGUGCUGUCAGUUCACCCUCCCCUUGGGCCUGGUCUUCAAUUUCCUGAUUGCUCUUCGACUACCUUCCUGGUUUCUCAGCCUGCUGAGGUUCCAGGCUGGAGAAAUCUCUUUCAGAGCGAUCCCCUUGGGCAGAAAGGGAGUUAAUUUGAAAACUCUGCCAACACCAACAUUAAAUUGUAAAGCUUGCUUAUCGUGUGGCUAACGUGAUUUUGGAUGUAAAGAGUCCCCAGGAGGAAAGCCUACUCAACAGUCUUUUGGGAGGUGAGAAAGUUUUCCUUGUCUAAAUACCAGUUCUAAAACACACCAUUUCCUUCGAUAACAGCCCAAACUGGCCCUUUUCAAAGGCUAUUUCUUUCUCAGCCUUGAUUUUAUUUUCUGUUCCACUUCUACAGUAGAAGAUUAAUUCCUGCAUUCUGCACAUUGCCUGGAGUUCAGCGCACAUGUUUACUGAGGUGUACAGCUCUCAAAUAACUUUGGUGCUUCUUUCACCCACUGUUAG
rnacentral:lncRNA from 1 species